UACGUAGGGGGCUAGCGUUGUCCGGAAUCAUUGGGCGUAAAGCGCGCGUAGGCGGCCUCAUAAGUCCGCUGUAAAAGUCAAAAGGCUCAACCUUUGAACGCCGAUGGAUACUGUGAGGCUAGAGUCCGGAAGAGGCGAGUGGAACUCCUGGUGUAGCGGUGGAAUGCGCAGAUAUCAGGAAGAACACCAACGGCGAAGGCAGCUCGCUGGGACGGUACUGACGCUGAGGCGCGAAAGCGUGGGGGAGCAAACAGG
rnacentral:rRNA from 1 species